UACGUAGGGUGCGAGCGUUAAUCGGAAUUACUGGGCGUAAAGCGUGCGCAGGCGGUGAUGUAAGACAGAUGUGAAAUCCCCCGGGCUCAACCUGGGACCUGCAUUUGUGACUGCAUCGCUAGAGUACGGUAGAGGGGGAUGGAAUUCCCAGUGUAGCGGUGAAAUGCGUAGAUAUUGGGAGGAACACCGGUGGCGAAGGCGGCUACCUGGACCGGUUCUGACGCUGAUGCGCGAAAGCGUGGGGAGCAAACAGG
rnacentral:rRNA from 1 species